GCAUUUCGGAAAACUUAGGACCCCAACAUUUGAUUAAUAUUAAGAAUUUAGCUUAUGGUAUUAAAAAGGCAGCCUUUAAUAAAAAUGAGCAAAGCAAAGGCGUUGCCUGCGAGGUAAAAUCUGAUGAUAUUGCCGAUGUGGUUAAAGAGGUUUUGAAACAGCUUCAGAUUUGUUAGGAUUUGUUAAUUUAAGUAGGUGAAAUAAUUGGAGAAUAGCCAGCUUAUUGCAAUGAUCACGGAAAGUGUGAUUAAACAACUCUGUUGUGUUUCCACAACUA
rnacentral:rRNA from 1 species